AGUGCAGACAAAGACAAUCCAGGUGUACCAGAGGGCUGAGCAUUGGAUGAAAGUGAGGAAGCAAGGCUGGGUUGUGAAGCGUUACCAUCUGGUCCAGAUGCAGACAAAGACAAUCCAGGUGUACCAGAGGGCUGAGCAUUGGGUGAAAUUAGGGUAGCAGGGCCAGGUUUUGAAAAGGAAUCAGAGGGAG